AGUCGAACGGCAGCACGGGAGCAAUCCUGGUGGCGAGUGGCGAACGGGUGAGUAAUAUAUCGGAACGUGCCCAGUCGUGGGGGAUAACGCAGCGAAAGCUGUGCUAAUACCGCAUACGAUCUCUGGAUGAAAGCGGGGGACUCGCAAGGGCCUCGCGCGAUUGGAGCGGCCGAUAUCAGAUUAGCUAGUUGGUGGGGUAAAAGCCCACCAAGGCGACGAUCUGUAGCUGGUCUGAGAGGACGACCAGCCACACUGGAACUGAGACACGGUCCAGACUCCUACGGGAGGCAGCAGUGGGGAAUUUUGGACAAUGGGCGCAAGCCUGAUCCAGCAAUGCCGCGUGCAGGAUGAAGGCCUUCGGGUUGUAAACUGCUUUUGUACGGAGCGAAACGGUCUUCUCUAAUAAAGGGGGCUAAUGACGGUACCGUAAGAAUAAGCACCGGCUAACUACGUGCCAGCAGCCGCGGUAAU
rnacentral:rRNA from 1 species